rnacentral:rRNA from 1 species
GAACUGAAGAGUUUGAUCCUGGCUCAGAUUGAACGCUGGCGGAAUGCUUUACACAUGCAAGUCGAGCGGCAGCGCGGGGGCAACCCUGGCGGCGAGCGGCGAACGGGUGAGUAAUGUAUCGGAACGUACCCAGUCGUGGGGGAUAACUAUCCGAAAGGAUAGCUAAUACCGCAUACGUCCUGAGGGAGAAAGCGGGGGACCGUAAGGCCUCGCGCGAUUGGAGCGGCCGAUAUCGGAUUAGCUAGUUGGUGAGGUAAAGGCUCACCAAGGCGACGAUCUGUAGCGGGUCUGAGAGGAUGAUCCGCCACACUGGAACUGAGACACGGUCCAGACUCCUACGGGAGGCAGCAGUGGGGAAUUUUGGACAAUGG